rnacentral:rRNA from 1 species
CCCUUAGAUGUUCUGGGCGGCCCGCGCACUACAAUGGCGUGUGCAGCGAGUGCCGAAGUAGAGUUUUCCGAGGUAUUCUUGCAAUGCUCGUUUUGAUGGGGAUAGACCCUUGCAACUGUUGGUUUUGAACGAGGAAUUCCUUGUAAGCAUGGUUUAUCAUCCGACGCUGAAUGCGUCCCUGCCCUUUGUACACACCGCCCGUCGCUCCUACCGAUGAGUCGUCCGGUGAAGUUCGUAGACCUCGUGAUCGCGGUUCACUGGGGGAAGCAAAAUGAACCUCGCGGUUUAGAGGAAGGAGAAGUCGUAACA